AAUAUCUUAAGAAGAUAUUUAUAUGAAGCAGCCCCUUUGGAUUUCACAUCUGAUGAUGGUGAUUACCGAGUCUGCAAGCUGCAAAGAUCCAUAUACGAAUCAAAGCAAGCUUUUCGGAGUUGGAAUCUUUAUUUUGAUGAUGCGAUCAAAUCAUUUGGUUUCAUCAAAAAAUGAAAAAGAACCUUAUGUAUACAAGAGGA
rnacentral:lncRNA from 1 species